rnacentral:pre_miRNA from 1 species
UAAUAAUAAUAAUGGUGAUGAUGAUCAUAAUCAUGAUGAUGCUAUGGUCAUAUGAUGAUAAUGGUCAUCAUGAUCAUCAUCAUCAUCAUCAUCAUUA